AGUGAACGCUGGCGGUAGGCCUAACACAUGCAAGUCGAACGGCAGCACAGUAAGAGCUUGCUCUUACGGGUGGCGAGUGGCGGACGGGUGAGGAAUACAUCGGAAUCUACUUUUUCGUGGGGGAUAACGUAGGGAAACUUACGCUAAUACCGCAUACGACCUACGGGUGAAAGCAGGGGAUCUUCGGACCUUGCGCGAUUGAAUGAGCCGAUGUCGGAUUAGCUAGUUGGCGGGGUAAAGGCCCACCAAGGCGACGAUCCGUAGCUGGUCUGAGAGGAUGAUCAGCCACACUGGAACUGAGACACGGUCCAGACUCCUACGGGAGGCAGCAGUGGGGAAUAUUGGACAAUGGGCGCAAGCCUGAUCCAGCCAUAUCGCGUGGGUGAAGAAGGCCUUCGGGUUGUAAAGCCCUUUUGUUGGGAAAGAAAAGCAGCAGGUUAAUACCCCGCUGUUCUGACGGUACCCAAAGAAUAAGCACCGGCUAACUUCGUG
rnacentral:rRNA from 1 species